rnacentral:rRNA from 1 species
GGCGAACGGGUUAGUAACGCGUGGGAACGUGCCCUUUAGUACGGAAUAGCUAUUGGAAACGAUGAUUAAUGCCGUAUACGCCCCAAGGGGGAAAGAUUUAUUGCUAAAGGAU